AUCUGUUCACAAGCCAGCUUCAAGCCAGUGCAUCUCCACUGAUUUCAACCCGGAAGUGAUUUAUAAGGAUUAAUAGGUAUCAUCAUCCCCAUUUUACAAAUUGGGAACCUGAGGCACAGAGCGAUUAAGUAACUUGCCCAAGCCCAUCCAGAGAAUUGAGAGCAGAACUGGGAACAGAACUAUCUUCCAUCUCCUGAUAAGUAGCAGUUGCUACAUAAAGACAUUUCAGAAGGAUUUCUUGCAAAAUUAAGUUGACAUGGGACCUGGAUCAAGGACAUAACAUCUCACACUGAAAGGAUGGCACCACUACCAGGCCUGAAGCAAGGCCCAUGCAAGACAAAGGGAGUCUUUCCAUGGACGUCAAUGGCUUUGGAUCAGUCGUCCCUCAGUGCAGUCUGUUACCAGCAGCGCACUGCUGUGUCCACAAUGGGUAAGAGAGGCUGGCCUGGGACUUGAUCCCAGAGCCCCAUGGACAGAUCCCAACUGUUCGCAUUUCACACUGAAAUCCUGCGUGACUGGGGGGAGCAUCAGGGGACUGCUCUUGUUUGAAAGGCAGUUUUUACCUGCAGGCCGACACUGCCUGGAAUCCCUGGAGGACCUGGAGGGCCUGCGUCUCCCUGGGCAUAGAAAACCAGAAAGUUAGACAAGAUGCAGUGAUAAAUCUCACCCUGGAUCCUGAUAACCUUCUUCCCAAGAAUCUUCUCCAUGCUAACCCUCCCCACCAAUUAUUUCCCCAGACCCUCCCUCACCAAAACUAUGGCCUCAUGUUCUGCCUCUAUGCAAUUUCUUCCAGCCACAAAUAGUGUUUCUGUCAAUUGGUCAGAUAGUGAAGGCAACUAACUAACCAACUUGUGUGAUCAAUGCAGCGUUUGCAUGAGCUGCAAAACCAGGCACAGCAAAACUGCAGAUGCCAGCUUAGAGUCCAUGCUUGAAAUUUGUGAUCAUAAAAAUGAUUCAUUUUUUUUAGCUAAAAUAUUCUCUCUCACACAUGAAAUGAUGGAGGCUAAUGAUCUUCAGUCCACAUGCCAAGUACAAUCAAAUAACGAGCUUUCCCUUGCUGUCUAAUCAAUUGUCUCAUUCUGCCCUGGCAUCAUUCUGAGAGAAAUCCCUUGGUCUUAAGGCUAAAAAAAAAAAAUCUAAUUUUUUUCUUUAAACAGAGUUUUACCUUCUCACCAUCUUUUCCUGUUUCCCCAGGUUCUCCUUUGUGGCCUGUAUGCCCCUAAAAAUAAAAUCAAGAAUGAGC